GAUCAUGCCAUUGCACUCCAGCGUGGGCAAUCAAGAGUGAAACUCUGUCUAAAAAAAAAAAAAAAAAAAGUUUCAGAAUUAAAGACUUGGGGAAAAAUAAACCUUUCCUGGCAAUUCUGAUGUAGCAGCCCAUGGAGCUGUAUUCAAGAUUCAUUGAAAGAACCCCCUUGAAGCCAGCUGUCCUCUCUUGCAGCAUGAUUUUAAAGGAAGCAUGUUGAUCAAGAACCCUUCAUACCAUCUUAAGGGUUCUAGUUUGCAAGUACAGGAAGAGCCCUUCCUAUGGCAAAGGAAAGAUCCCCUUAGUUGCAAUUAACAGGUAUCUUCCUGGAAUUUAAUCUUUAACUGAUUACCCAAAGUCUCAACUGCUCUCUCUUCUCUUCCAUAAGUGACAAGAUACGGGGCUGAAAUGCUUGCUGCUUACAUGAUCAGUAGCCUGGAGAAGUAACAGAACAUACACACGUUAUAAUACUGAUUCUUGUGAUUUCAAGGUGAUGAAAACCUCUCUCUUUCUGGCCUCAAAUUUCUCCUUCUGGACUCAAAUCCCUUCAGUUUUCUAUGGGAGGAUACUUUAGGAGACCAAACCAUAAAGAAAAACAAGUAUGUGAUUGUCAAAAAAACAAAAAAAUUGACCGCUCCUCUUUCCGCUGCCCCAAUCAGAAAGAGGAGCUGUGAUGUGGUAGAGGGGCACAUGGAGGGCUUCUGAGGGCUGGCAAUGUUCUUUUUUUUUUUUCACCUGAGUGGUAGUAACAUAAGGUUUCAUUUUACAAUAGGUUAUUAAACUCUACGAUGAGUUUUGUGCACUUUUAAGGGUGUGUGUGUGUGUAUUACACCGUGUUUUAAAAACUAAAACAAAAUGCUUCAGAACUUGAGAAAGGACUGGAAAUGAGAGCAAAAUCUGAUUCUUUGAAAUUCAAAGUUAGGAACUGAGUUAGCCUUAGAAAACCUACCAAACUCCCAGAAGUGAAAAUGGGCAGAGGUUGUGAGGGUUUUUGAGCACUGUCCUAAAGCAAGUUCCACAUAACUCUAGUUCCGGAGGAUGUCAUAUGAAUAAGUUGGGAAAUUCAGUCCACACACACAAAAUGAAAGACUUAGGGUCAGGCAGCAUUCCAAGCACCAUGAACUUGAUGGUCCUCAUCUAAAGUUAAUUCGCUUUCUUUACGGUGGGACGACUCGGACCCCUUAAUUUGCUACUGUGAUCUGAAUGUCUAAAAGGGGGAACAGGCUCUGCAAUGCUCCUCAAAGUUGUAAGUCUCUGGUGUAUCAGCCCCGGUGAAUGCGCUGCCUCGGAUUCGCUCAGCCUUGCCUCUCUCCAGGCCCUUGGCUUCUUGCUCAUGGAGAUCCUGGAUGCUACUGGGCCACAGUCAUGAAUUCAUCCCCUACUGCCGGUGGCUGACUUGGCCUUUCCUGGCGUGAGUCUGGGCACCAGCCUGGCCCCAUUGUGUUCACUGAGGUGGAGACAGCAGCUGCCCCACCCUUGUCCAACCCAACUGGACCAUGGAGGCCCUGGCACCUCCCACCAUCUCCAGACUCAGCUGAAGUACCACCCAAUGGGGCAGGUGACCUUGCUGCCCCUGCACCUGCACCACCUGAAGUCAAGGUGGAAUGAACAGUAUGGGAGGCGGGAGACAGGAAGGAGCCAGCAGACACAUUUCUUUUUUUUUUUCUUCUCUAGAUGAAGGACUUUGAAUCAUGUUCUGUUCUUUAUGGCCUGCUGGAAACAUCUCACAUGACUAAGCAGCCAGCCCAGUCUUUGGUGAAGCUGUGGCCAGCUCAGCCACGUGACACCUUGUCAGAAGACCCCCAUCCAGAGAGAGUCCUGCGCCAUAUGAGGAAGGAAGGAAUGCUGCGCAGAGAGGCCGAAAAGAAUCUUGACAGACAGGCCUCGCUGGGUUCCCCACUCAGUCUAUCAGCAUUAGAUCAGGCUCUUUUGUCCAACCGUAUUUCUACACGGCCAUCCAUACUUUGUUGAACUGAAGCCUAAAAAUGGACAGUUUCUCCUGUAUCUUUGGGUGUUCAUUCUGAAGGUUCUUGUAUCUCAUAAAACCAUGGUCAAAUAAAUUUGUGUAUUUGUUUGCCUUUUCUCCUAUUAAUCUGCCUC
rnacentral:lncRNA from 1 species